AGUGAACGCUGGCGGUAGGCCUAACACAUGCAAGUCGAACGGCAGCACAGUAAGAGCUUGCUCUUACGGGUGGCGAGUGGCGGACGGGUGAGGAAUACAUCGGAAUCUACUUUUUCGUGGGGGAUAACGUAGGGAAACUUACGCUAAUACCGCAUACGACCUACGGGUGAAAGCAGGGGAUCUUCGGACCUUGCGCGAUUGAAUGAGCCGAUGUCGGAUUAGCUAGUUGGCGGGGUAAAGGCCCACCAAGGCGACGAUCCGUAGCUGGUCUGAGAGGAUGAUCAGCCACACUGGAACUGAGACACGGUCCAGACUCCUACGGGAGGCAGCAGUGGGGAAUAUUGGACAAAGGGCGUAAGCCUGAUCCAGCCAUACCGCGUGGGUGAAGAAGGCCUUCGGGUUGUAAAGCCCUUUUGUUGGGAAAGAAGAGCAGCAGGUUAAUACCCCGCUGUUCUGACGGUACCCAAAGAAUAAGCACCGGCUAACUUCGUG
rnacentral:rRNA from 1 species